rnacentral:rRNA from 1 species
CAGUAGCCGCGGUAAUACGUAGGUGGCAAGCGUUGUCCGGAAUUAUUGGGCGUAAAGGGCUCGCAGGCGGUUUCUUAAGUCUGAUGUGAAAGCCCCCGGCUCAACCGGGGAGGGUCAUUGGAAACUGGGAAACUUGAGUGCAGAAGAGGAGAGUGGAAUUCCACGUGUAGCGGUGAAAUGCGUAGAGAUGUGGAGGAACACCAGUGGCGAAGGCGACUCUCUGGUCUGUAACUGACGCUGAGGCUCGAAAGCGUGGGGAGCAAACAGGAUUAGAGACCCCUGUAGUCCCUGUCUCUUAUAC